UUCCGGUGAUCAAGUUAAAGAUAGUAUGAGAGAAGUGUGUAUGUUUGAUUAUGAGAAUGACCUACCUAACUAGGGAGUUUUAGCUUCCUAUAUAAGCAUUGAGUAGAAUCCUAUUGGGAUUUGGUUGAGGGAAAUCCGAUUAAAGUGGGAAUUGGCUGAGGGAAAUCCAAUAAUAGCGGGAUUCAAAAUCCUGGAUAAUGUGGCAUGCGUAUCUUUGGCAAAUAUAGUUGUUGCUGGACUAGGAUAUUUAUCACUCGGUUGACUGAAUCAUAUAUUUGGGUAUUUUGGGGUGGUAUUACAUCAGUUAGCUUCUUACUCUGGGUACAAUGAUUUUGAAUAUUGUUGAAGCACAAGUGCACAAGUCCUCCAUGCUUGGACCAAAUGGCCAUGGCUUGGAUGACCAGAAAUUCUUACUGUCUAACUUUGUUCACUGUUCCACUAUAGUUAUUAUGCAGUUUGCUAGAUACUUGCAGUUCUAUUAAUUUGGUAUCUCCUAGGAGGUUUAUGCUACUAGGAAUGCUACAUAACAAACACGUGGAUUUGUUUACUUUUAUGCUGAAUGUUGAAUUGACAAUGAUAAUAUUUGUUGUUCCUCAUAUUCUUUUAGUUUAUAAGCAUUAUGUUUAACUUAUUUUGCAUUUCUUUAUUCUUUGAAGUAUGUUGG
rnacentral:misc_RNA from 1 species